AUGGAAUUUCCAGAAUAUUGGACAUGGCACCAACAAGGCAAAUACUGGGAUCAUCGUCGAGGUCCCCAAAAGAAAAUUGGCCGCAUUGCACAUGUCAACCCCGCACAGGGAGAUACUUUCUAUUUGCGAAUGUUGCUCAACGUUCGUAAAGGUCCAACCUCCUUCGCAGAUAUCCGGACUAUAUUAGGCCAAGAAUAUCCUACAUUCUGGGCAGCAUGUGAAGCUUUAGGUCUCCUAGGUGAUGACCAAGAGUGGUCAAAUGCAUUAAAAGAUGCAGCAAACUGGGCAUUGCCAUUCCAAUUACGUCAACUUUUUGUUACCCUAUUGCUUUUUUGCAAUGUC
rnacentral:rRNA from 1 species